UACGAGGGGUGCGAGCGUUGCUCGGAAUUAUUGGGCGUAAAGGGUAGGUAGGUGGUUUCGUUUGUCUGGGGUGAAAGCCUUGAGCUUAACUCAAGAAGUGCCUCGGAAACGGCGAAACUCGAGUACUGGAGAGGGUCGUGGAAUUCCCGGUGUAGCGGUGAAAUGCGUAGAGAUCAAGAGGAACACUCGUGGCGAAAGCGAGCUACUGGACAAUUCCUGACGCUGAGGCUCGAAGGCUAGGGUAGCGAAAGGG
rnacentral:rRNA from 1 species